rnacentral:hammerhead_ribozyme from 1 species
AUUCAGCCGACGAGUCUCAAAUAAGACGAAACGCUCGUCCUAGAU